GACGAACGCUGGCGGCGUGCUUAACACAUGCAAGUCGAACGGUAAGGCCCUUCGGGGUACACGAGUGGCGAACGGGUGAGUAACACGUGGGUAAUCUGCCCUGCACUUCGGGAUAAGCCUGGGAAACUGGGUCUAAUACCGGAUAUUCAGUUCCUGCCGCAUGGUGGGGGUUGGAAAGUUUUUCGGUGCAGGAUGAGCCCGCGGCCUAUCAGCUUGUUGGUGGGGUAAUGGCCUACCAAGGCGACGACGGGUAGCCGGCCUGAGAGGGUGAUCGGCCACACUGGGACUGAGACACGGCCCAGACUCCUACGGGAGGCAGCAGUGGGGAAUAUUGCACAAUGGGCGAAAGCCUGACGCAGCGACGCCGCGUGGGGGAUGACGGCCUUCGGGUUGUAAACCUCUUUCAGCAGGGACGAAGCGAAAGUGACGGUACCUGCAGAAGAAGCACCGGCCAACUACGUGCCAGCAGCCGCGGUAAUACGUAGGGUGCAAGCGUUGUCCGGAAUUAUUGGGCGUAAAGAGCUCGUAGGCGGUUUGUUGCGUCGGCUGUGAAAACCUGAGGCUCAACCUCAGGCCUGCAGUCGAUACGAGCAGACUAGAGUGUUGCGGGGGAGACUGGAAUUCCUGGUGUAGCGGUGAAAUGCGCAGAUAUCAGGAGGAACACCGGUGGCGAAGGCGGGUCUCUGGGCAACAACUGACGCUGAGGAGCGAAAGCGUGGGGAGCGAACAGGAUUAGAUACCCUGGUAGUCCACGCCGUAAACGUUGGGCGCUAGGUGUGGGGCUCAUUCCACGAGUUCCGUGCCGCAGCUAACGCAUAAGCGCCCCGCCUGGGAGUACGCCCGCAAGGCUAAAACUCAAAGGAAUUGACGGGGGCCCGCACAAGCGGCGGAGCAUGUUGCUUAAUUCGAUGCAACGCGAAGAACCUUACCUAGGCUUGACAUGCACGGAAAUCCUCCAGAGAUGGUGGGUCCGCAAGGGUCGUGCACAGGUGGUGCAUGGUUGUCGUCAGCUCGUGUCGUGAGAUGUUGGGUUAAGUCCCGCAACGAGCGCAACCCUCGUUCUAUGUUGCCAGCACGUCAUGGUGGGGACUCAUAGGAGACUGCCGGGGUCAACUCGGAGGAAGGUGGGGAUGACGUCAAAUCAUCAUGCCCCUUAUGUCUAGGGCUGCAAACAUGCUACAAUGGCCGGUACAAAGGGCUGCGAUACCGCGAGGUGGAGCGAAUCCCAAAAAGCCGGUCUCAGUUCGGAUUGGGGUCUGCAACUCGACCCCAUGAAGUUGGAGUCGCUAGUAAUCGCAGAUCAGCAACGCUGCGGUGAAUACGUUCCCGGGCCU
rnacentral:rRNA from 1 species